AGCCUUCUGAAUCCGUGCUGAGGUUUCUUCAGACACCAAACCAUCAGUAGUGAUGAUACUACUAAUAUAAGUGGAGCG
rfam:Schistosoma haematobium scaffold3072_1, whole genome shotgun sequence.